rnacentral:rRNA from 1 species
UGAGGAACAUGACCUUCGGCGGGGGAUAGCCGGCCCAACGGCCGGGUAAUACCGCGUACGACCAUUUGGGGACAUCCCCGAGUGGUGAAAGCAGCAAUGCGCCGAUGGAGUGCCUCGCGGCCUAUCAGCUAGUUGGUGGGGUAACGCUCACCAAGGCAACGGACGGGUAGCUGGUCUGAGAGGAUGGCCAGCCACAUUGGGACUGAGACACGGUCCAGACUCCUACGGAAGNAG